GAUGAAGAACGCAGCGAAAUGCGAUAAGUAGUGUGAAUUGCAGAAUUCAGUGAAUCAUCGAAUCUUUGAACGCACAUUGCGCCUUUGGUAUUCCAAAGGGCAUGCCUGUUCGAGCGUCAUUUGUACCCUCAAGCUUUGCUUGGUGUUGGGCGUCUUGUCUCUAGCUUUGCUGGAGACUCGCCUUAAAGUAAUUGGCAGCCGGCCUACUGGUUUCGGAGCGCAGCACAAGUCGCACUCUCUAUCAGCAAAGGUCUAGCAUCCAUUAAGCCUUUUUUUCAACUUUUGACCUCGGAUCAGGUAGGGAUACCCGCUGAACUUAAGCAUAUCAAUAAGCGGAGGA
rnacentral:misc_RNA from 1 species